CGAAUGCUGACAUAAGUAACGAUAAAGCGGGUGAAAAGCCCGCUCGCCGGAAGACCAAGGGUUCCUGUCCAACGUUAAUCGGGGCAGGGUGAGUCGACCCCUAAGGCGAGGCCGAAAGGCGUAGUCGAUGGGAAACAGGUUAAUAUUCCUGUACUUGGUGUUACUGCGAAGGGGGGACGGAGAAGGCUAUGUUGGCCGGGCGACGGUUGUCCCGGUUUAAGCGUGUAGGCUGGUUUUCCAGGCAAAUCCGGAAAAUCAAGGCUGAGGCGUGAUGACGAGGCACUACGGUGCUGAAGCAACAAAUGCCCUGCUUCCAGGAAAAGCCUCUAAGCAUCAGGUAACAUCAAAUCGUACCCCAAACCGACACAGGUGGUCAGGUAGAGAAUACCAAGGCGCUUGAGAGAACUCGGGUGAAGGAACUAGGCAAAAUGGUGCCGUAACUUCGGGAGAAGGCACGCUGAUAUGUAGGUGAAGCGACUUGCUCGUGGAGCUGAAAUCAGUCGAAGAUACCAGCUGGCUGCAACUGUUUAUUAAAAACACAGCACUGUGCAAACACGAAAGUGGACGUAUACGGUGUGACGCCUGCCCGGUGCCGGAAGGUUAAUUGAUGGGGUUAGCGGUAACGCGAAGCUCUUGAUCGAAGCCCCGGUAAACGGCGGCCGUAACUAUAACGGUCCUAAGGUAGCGAAAUUCCUUGUCGGGUAAGUUCCGACCUGCACGAAUGGCGUAAUGAUGGCCAGGCUGUCUCCACCCGAGACUCAGUGAAAUUGAACUCGCUGUGAAGAUGCAGUGUACCCGCGGCAAGACGGAAAGACCCCGUGAACCUUUACUAUAGCUUGACACUGAACAUUGAGCCUUGAUGUGUAGGAUAGGUGGGAGGCUUUGAAGUGUGGACGCCAGUCUGCAUGGAGCCGGCCUUGAAAUACCACCCUUUAAUGUUUGAUGUUCUAACGUUGGCCCCUGAUCGGGGUUGCGGACAGUGUCUGGUGGGUAGUUUGACUGGGGCGGUCUCCUCCUAAAGAGUAACGGAGGAGCACGAAGGUUGGCUAAUCCUGGUCGGACAUCAGGAGGUUAGUGCAAUGGCAUAAGCCAGCUUGACUGCGAGCGUGACGGCGCGAGCAGGUGCGAAAGCAGGUCAUAGUGAUCCGGUGGUUCUGAAUGGAAGGGCCAUCGCUCAACGGAUAAAAGGUACUCCGGGGAUAACAGGCUGAUACCGCCCAAGAGUUCAUAUCGACGGCGGUGUUUGGCACCUCGAUGUCGGCUCAUCACAUCCUGGGGCUGAAGUAGGUCCCAAGGGUAUGGCUGUUCGCCAUUUAAAGUGGUACGCGAGCUGGGUUUAGAACGUCGUGAGACAGUUCGGUCCCUAUCUGCCGUGGGCGCUGGAGAACUGAGGGGGGCUGCUCCUAGUACGAGAGGACCGGAGUGGACGCAUCACUGGUGUUCGGGUUGUCAUGCCAAUGGCACUGCCCGGUAGCUAAAUGCGGAAGAGAUAAGUGCUGAAAGCAUCUAAGCACGAAACUUGCCCCGAGAUGAGUUCUCCCUGAGACUUUAAGUCUCCUGAAGGAACGUUGAAGACGACGACGUUGAUAGGCCGGGUGUGUAAGCGCAGCGAUGCGUUGAGCUAACCGGUACUAAUGAACCGUGAGGCUUAACCUUACAACGCCGAAGGUGUUU
rnacentral:rRNA from 1 species